CUGNAGUUCGAGCGGUAAGGCUCCUUCGGGAGUACACGAGCGGCGAACGGGUGAGUAACACGUGAGUAACCUGCCCCAUUCAUCGGAAUAACCAGUGGAAACGCUGGCUAAUGCCGAAUACGACCACCGAAGGCAUCUUCUGGUGGUGGAAAGCUCCGGCGGAGUGGGAUGGACUCGCGGCCUAUCAGCUUGUUGGUGAGGUAAUGGCUCACCAAGGCGACGACGGGUAGCCGGCCUGAGAGGGUGACCGGCCACACUGGGACUGAGACACGGCCCAGACUCCUACGGGAGGCAGCAGUGGGGAAUAUUGGACAAUGGGCGAAAGCCUGAUCCAGCAACGCCGCGUGAGGGAUGACGGCCUUCGGGUUGUAAACCUCUUUCAGCAGGGACGAAGCGAAAGUGACGGUACCUGCAGAAGAAGGACCGGCCAACUACGUGCCAGCAGCCGCGGUAAUACGUAGGGUCCGAGCGUUGUCCGGAAUUAUUGGGCGUAAAGGGCUCGUAGGCGGUUUGUCACGUCGGAAGUGAAAACUCAGGGCUCAACCCUGAGCGUGCUUACGAUACGGGCAAACUAGAGGUAUGCAGGGGAGAACGGAAUUCCUGGUGUAGCGGUGAA
rnacentral:rRNA from 1 species